UACGUAGGGCGCAAGCGUUAUCCGGAAUUAUUGGGCGUAAAGGGCUCGUAGGCGGUUUGUCGCGUCGGGAGUGAAAUCCACUGGCUUAACUGGUGGCUUGCUUCGAUACGGGCAGACUGGAGGUAUGCAGGGGAGAACGGAAUUCCUGGUGUAGCGGUGAAAUGCGCAGAUAUCAGGAGGAACACCGGUGGCGAAGGCGGUUCUCUGGGCAUGUCCUGACGCUGAGGAGCGAAAGUGUGGGGAGCGAACAGG
rnacentral:rRNA from 1 species